rnacentral:tRNA from 1 species
GCCUAUAUAGCUCAGCUGGCAGAGCAUCUGACUGUUAAUCAGAGGGUCCUAGGUUCGAUCCCUAGUAUAGGCGCCA